GACGAACGCUGGCGGCGUGCCUAACACAUGCAAGUCGAGCGAGGAGGAGGAAGCUUGCUUUCGAAUCCUAGCGGCGGACGGGUGAGUAACGCGUGAGCAAUCUGCCUUUUACAGGGGGAGUAACGCAUCGAAAGAUGUGCUAAUACCGCGUAAGACCACAGCACCGCAUGGUGCAGGGGUCAAAGAGCAAUCCGGUAAAAGAUGAGCUCGCGUCCGAUUAGCUAGUUGGUGAGAUAACAGCCCACCAAGGCGACGAUCGGUAGCCGACCUGAGAGGGUGAACGGCCACACUGGAACUGAGAAACGGACCAGACUCCUACGGGAGGCAGCAGUGGGGAA
rnacentral:rRNA from 1 species